GUUUGCGCUGCCCAUGAAGGAGGAGCACAAGUUGUUUCUGGUGAGGGCGCUUCUGCCUCUGCAUAAGCCGAAAUCGGUGGGCAUGUACCACCAGCAGUUGUCUUACUGCAUUACUCAGUUUGUGGAGAAGGAUUUCAAGCUGGCAGAUACGGUGAUUAGGGGGUUGUUGAAGUAUUGGCCUCUUACCAAUUGCCAGAAGGAGGUUCUCUUCCUUGGAGAACUGGAGGAAGUGCUGGAGGCCACGCAGGCCGCCGAGUUUCAAAAAUGCAUGGUUCCGCUUUUUAGACAGAUUUCACGCUGCCUCAAUAGCUUUCACUUUCAGGUUCGUGGAUGAUUGCCAUCUUCUAUGAUGGUGUUAGUUUGAAGUUGAGAUUAUGGGUGGCUGUGUUCCAUUGUUUUUAUUUCCGGUUUUGAGUUUGCAAUAUUACUCAUGAACUGCUACCUUGCAUGCUAUAUGAUAUGUUUUACGUUACACAUCCAAUCUAGCUCUUCUUUUUAACUCGUGGGUUUCUUAUUUAUAGAAUGCGGGGGUUGGGGGAUGUAAGUUUAAGCUGCAUAAUUAAUGAACUUUAAUUGUUUCAUUGUUUAUAUGUUUUUCCUUUUAUAGCUUCAUAGUGUAGUGAGAGUGAAUCCGUUUUCUUUUUUUCUAUUGUUUAGUUGCUUUUUAUGUCAUGCAUCUAUUGCUAAUGCUCCAAUAGAUAGGAAAAAAAAAGGAAAAGAAAUAUUAUACUGGUCAUUACUAUUAACGUGGGAAGGGAUUUUUGUUCGAGUUGAAUUAAUUGUAUCCUUGCCUUUCACACAUUGAAACCAAAAUAGACAGACACAUGCACAUGCUUUUGCAUGUACAGGGAUUUUGACUUCGUUAUUAUUCAUUGUCUGAUUCAGAGUUGAGUACAUAAGUGGCAAGUUAACCGUUAGUAAUCAUGAAAUUGUGUGAUUUAUAUAUCUCUUUUAAAUAGUAAAAUACUUGGCACAAAAAAAUAUUAUGAGUAAGGAUAUAUGUUGGGGACUAUAAUGUUUAUUUUCUGUUUGUUAAAUGCAUGAAGUUAAUGAUUUUUCUAUAUAUUUUAUUUAAGAAGUCUGUGACUUAUAUUUUGUUUCUUUCUCGUUGUUAUCUUUAUUUAUUAUGUCGUGAGAUGCAUGUGACUUUAAGAAUGCUGACAUAAUUGAAAGCAAAUCUUGAGAUUGCAGUUGUGGGGAAAAUGGUUAUAGGGUCAAUUGUUCUUUUGUUCCCUGAUUUGUUUGGAUAAAUGCAAUACCCUUCUUGAUUUAAGAUUCCAAACAUAUUAUCCUGUGAUUUAACAUCAUCGAUUGCACUCUGCCCCCCUAACAACAAAAUUCAGAGUCAAGUUAUAGAUGGAAUCAGUCAUACAUUCUAGAUAUAGAAACAGUUUGAAAGGACAUAAGAAUUCGUAAUGAACUUCUGCUCUGCGAAGCUGUCCUUAAUUUCGUUAAUGCGACAUUAUUGUGGAUGACCUUUGUUUUUCAACUGAAUAGAAAUGGGGAAUAUUUCAAAGGGACAUAACAUGUUCUCAUAAGUCAUAAUCUGCUUGCAUCAUCUAACAGCUGCCUUUCUACAAACCCUCCCAUGAACACCUGGAAAGGAAAUUGCUCUUUUAUUAGGAUAAUUAUCCAAACUAGUAAACAUGUACCUUCCAAUUUUCAGAAAUGCCGAGUGUUGUAAUCUUGCUUUAAAUAUAUUAUAAUCUAAUGAUUAUUGAUAUGGCAUAAUUUUUAUUCUUAUAGAGCUGAAGGAUAGCCCUUGAUGAAUUAUUUUAGGAGAAUUUCACUCAUCAAUAAUGAUAUUUGUCUCAUUAUCAUUUACUUCCAAAUUAUAAUGUAGUUUCCUAUUUUAUUCUAAUUGGUUAGUAUCUAAUAAGUCAUGAUGAAAUUUUAUGGCUGUCUGAGCAUCAAAUCUUCACAGGAAUUUAUUACUCCCUUUUGUUUCCUUUUCUGGAGUUUAGAAUGUUGUUUAAUCUUGAGAGUGUUGUGCACGAUCAUCAAUCUGAUAGAUGUAAACCAGUCUAUUGCAUGUUUCUGAACUGUGUUUGAGCAUGCUCUUUGGAAUCUAAUUAAGCAAUGAAAUAACUAUUUCUAGGGCUGGCGAUUUGAGUCCUUUUUAGUAGAUCCAAUCUUAAGAUUUCUGGAAGCUUUUGCUAUUGGUUACUUAGUCAAUAAAAUAUCUUCCUGAUGCUUGUAUGUCACUAAAGGCAGAAACUAUUUUUUAUUCCAAUGAAGAGAAAAUCAGCACCAUGGAAAGAAAUAAUAGCUGCGCCGGUAAAAAUAUUGGGAGAAGUAAUGAUGUAUUUCGUGGGAGUUAAACCCACCAGGAAAUUACAUAGUCUGUGAUGUAAUAAAGGGCGAGUCCUAACACAUAAGGAAAAUAAUUUCUAGUUUUUUAAUUAAAUCCACCUUAAAACAUUUUAAGAACCUUAAAUAUUAUACUGUUUGCAACCCUAAAAUAGUAUUACUGGCUUUACUUCUGUUGAAGGGCCAGUGGUACAUUGCAAAUUAUCUUCAAUUCUUCACAAAUCAAGUGUGAAUGAGUUUAGUUUAUUUGAUCAUGAGGGUGUUGCAAUUUAUAUGAUAUAUCAGGGAGCAAAUCGCAAUUGAGCCUUCAUUCAUCUUUUCUGUUUCUUCAUUAAUCUUGUUCUUCGUAAGCGUAUCUUGGUUCUGUCUUGUUCCUUCUAUUAUCAUGAUGAUGAAGCUGCUGUCUCUUGGUUUCUUAUUAAGCCGCUGCAUGAUUACAUCCCUUUGAAAUUGCCAAAAUAACAAUUUUUCAUCCAAAAUUGGUUCAAAUUUCUAAAAUCUCAAUUGAUAAUCAUUCAAUUCCCCUUAAAAUUGAGAGAAUUUUUAUCUUCAGUUUGCCAAGACAGCUUGGGCAAUCUUAUUUUUUCGUUUCUUUCACUUAUUAGUGAAUGGAAGACUGGAAGUUUAAGCUGGCUAAUUUUUUAAGUCACAAUUAUUGGUAGAGUUGAGGUCAAGAGGGUGGUAUGCAUUUCAUUGCAAAUUUUAUUGUGCUUUUGAAUUGAAAUUGAGUAAAUUUCACUCCUCUCCUUCUAGAUGCUUAACUUCCACUGUCCUCUCCUCUAUUUUAAAAAACUAAACUCCUUUAAGAAAUUAACGUGUUACCCUUCUUUUAUCCAUUUUAACGUCGAUGGUCCUUUUAGAGGACAACUUUCAUCUCUUUGUAAUUCUCUGCAUCAUGGAUAACCUGUUUUAAACCUCUAUGAUCGACUUUGCAACAUUAUGAGAUGAUUUGUACAUUUUUUUAUACUUAUACUGGACAUUGUUAAACUUAAUUUAUAUCAAUAAUAAGAUGUUCAAAAUUAGUUCAGUGGUAUUAUAAAGUAGAGAAGGAAAGAUAUCCCAGUCCCAUUUAUGGCUUCUCAACUGCUGAGAUGUUUGUUUAAAAAAUGAACUGCAGUAUAUCAUCAGCAUAUUUUAGCUUUCAUUGUUAAAGGGUAUUUAGCACAUUUAUCUCUGAUUCGAGGGUAGGGUAGCGAUGAGUAUGUUAUUUAUACCAAAAUUUUAGAUUUCAUUUUAAACCUAUUAAUUUGAUGCAUUGAUUCAUUGUGUUAUGUUGAACAAUUCUUCUACUCGCUUAUUAUUGAAAUCAUUUAGCUACUGAACUGCAGUAUCUUUUAGUCUUUGUUAUAUGAUGUGAAUAUUGUUCUUCCUCUACCUUAAAAAGAAGAAAACUAGGAAAAUGAAAGGAGAAACAUAAAAAGUAAAAAUCCGAGCAAACAAGAGACGCUCUUUAACUGAUCAAAAGUCAUUUGUUGAGUGCCCCAUAAAAAAUGUAGUUGAACAUCUCUAAGAAUAUGGUCUUUGUCAAUAUGGGAAUGAUUAUUUUUAUGUCUUCAUUUCAUUCAUGUUUUCCUUAUAAAUUUUUAAACAGCUUCUGUAAUUAAUUAGGGAAAAUGUUAUUCUGAAGUUUUUUAAUCAGCAUGGAAGGUUUAGAAUCGUGAACAGUCAGAAGUGAUUUUUUUUUACUGUUAUUAUUUUUCAUGGUUUAAAUGUUCUUUGAGAAUUCUUUGCGCUUAGCCACACUUAUAAUGCAGGUUGCCGAACGGACCCUGUUUUUGUGGAACAAUGAGCAUGUUGUGAGCUUAAUUGCUCAAAACAGGACGGUGGUACUACCAAUAAUAUUUGAAGCAUUUGAGAAAAACAUCUCGAGUCAUUGGAAUCAGGCAGUACAUGGACUGACCGUGAAUGUUCGGAAAAUGUUCCUGGAAAUGGAUGCAGAAUUGUAUGAAGAGUGCCAGCGGCAGCACGCAGAGAAAGAGGCUAAAGCCCAAGAUGUAGAAGAGCUGCGGGAACUUAAUUGGAAGAGACUGGCAGAUGCGGCUGCACAGAACGGAGUUGAGGACAUGGUCACAACUUAGCCUUGUUA
rnacentral:lncRNA from 1 species